AUUGAACGCUGGCGGCAUGCCUUACACAUGCAAGUCGAACGGUAACGGGCCUUCGGGUGCCGACGAGUGGCGAACGGGUGAGUAAUAUAUCGGAACGUACCUUUCAGAGGGGGAUAACGUAGCGAAAGUUACGCUAAUACCGCAUAUUCUGUGCGCAGGAAAGCAGGGGACCUUCGGGCCUUGCGCUGAUUGAGCGGCCGAUAUCAGAUUAGCUAGUUGGUAAGGUAAAGGCUCACCAAGGCGACGAUCUGUAGCGGGUCUGAGAGGAUGAUCCGCCACACUGGAACUGAGACACGGUCCAGACUCCUACGGGAGGCAGCAGUGGGGAAUUUUGGACAAUGGGGGCAACCCUGAUCCAGCCAUGCCGCGUGAGUGAAGAAGGCCUUCGGGUUGUAAAGCUCUUUCGGCCGGGAAGAAAUCGUAUGGGCUAAUACCCUGUGCGGAUGACGGUACCGGCAUAAGAAGCACCGGCUAACUACGUGCCAGCCGCCGCCGUAAAAC
rnacentral:rRNA from 1 species